rnacentral:lncRNA from 1 species
UCGUUGAAGCACUCUAUGUGCACCAGCGGAUCAGUUCUUCCCGAGUAUCUGAGGUCUGGGAGGCGGAAAUCUCUCGGAAUAACUGCCUUCAUGAUCUCUGCUGCGAGCGGUGAUUCUCCGUCCAGCAUUAUCCUCCAACCAGGGGCUCUGUUCCUUCCUUGCAUGUCGUCAAUUAUCUGCGCUAGUCUGCGCACUUCCUCCUCCAGCUGCACUGCACGACCAGGGUCACGUGCUGCAACUUGAUCCCGCUCUUGCUCUACAUCAUGCACGUGUUGCCUCAACUCUAUUUCCUCUGCAUUCACCACCCCGUCGUCCUCGUCACCAGUCUGUCUUGCCGGGGACUGCUCUCGUUCUCUAUGAAAUUCUCCCCGCAGAGGUACGUUACCCCUCUCACCACCGAAUCUCCCGGUGGUUUGACUUCUCCCCGCACUAUCGGGACCUGGUGCCACUCCACCGCCUCUCACCCUUCCCUCUUGGGUUACCCUUCGCUCGCUCCGCAGCUC